GACGAACGCUGGCGGCGUGCUUAACACAUGCAAGUCGAACGGGCCUUGUCCCCUUUUUUUUUGGGGGUGGGGUUAGUGGCGAACGGGUGAGUAACACGUGAGUAACCUGCCCCUCACUUCUGGAUAACCGCUUGAAAGGGUGGCUAAUACGGGGUGUUCUGGCCUGCUCGCAUGGGUGGGUUUGGAAAGAUUCGACCGGUUUUGGUUGUUUUGGUGGGGGAUGGGCUCGCGGCCUAUCAGCUUGUUGGUGGGGUGAUGGCCUGCCAAGGCUUUGACGGGUAGCCGGCCUGAGAGGGUGGGCGGUCACACUGGGACUGAGACACGGCCCAGACUCCUACGGGAGGCAGCAGUGGGGAAUAUUGCACAAUGGGCGCAAGCCUGAUGCAGCGACGCCGCGUGAGGGAUGGAGGCCGUCGGGUUGUGAACCUCUUUCGCCAGUGAAGAAGGUCCUGCUCUUUGUGGUGGGGUUGACGGUAGCGGGGUUAAUGAAGCGCCGGCUAACUACGUG
rnacentral:rRNA from 1 species